GUUUGCACUCAUCGGGGAAGGGUGAGAACCUUCGACUAAGGUUCGAUUCGAGCGAAAGCGAGAGAACGUUGCCACAGGCAACGGCCCGAAGGGUGAGGAGCGCAGCGCUGAGUAAUCCUUCCCCCACCACCA
rnacentral:sRNA from 1 species